rnacentral:rRNA from 1 species
CCUACGGGUGGCAGCAGUGGGGAAUAUUGCACAAUGGGGGAAACCCUGAUGCAGCGACGCCGCGUGAAUGAAGAAGUAUUUUGGUAUGUAAAGUUCUAUCAGCAGGGAAGAAGAUGACGGUACCUGACUAAGAAGCCCCGGCUAACUACGUGCCAGCAGCCGCGGUAAUACGUAGGGGGCAAGCGUUAUCCGGAUUUACUGGGUGGAAAGGGAGCGUAGGCGGUUACGCAAAUCUGGAGUGAAAGCCCAGGGCUUAACUCGGGGACUGCUUUGGAAACUGUGGAGCUAGAGUGCAGGAGAGGUAAGUGGAAUUCCUAGUGUAGCGGUGAAAUGCGUAGAUAUUAGGAGGAACACCAGUGGCGAAGGCGGCUUACUGGACUGUAACUGACGUUGAGGCUCGAAAGCGUGGGGAGCAAACAGGAUUAGAUACCCGAGUAGUC